rnacentral:rRNA from 1 species
CCUACGGGGGGCAGCAGUGGGGAAUAUUGGGCAAUGGGCGCAAGCCUGACCCAGCGACGCCGCGUGAGGGAAGAAGGUCUUCGGAUUGUAAACCUCUUUGACAGGGGACGAAGUAAGUGACGGUACCCUGAAAACAAGCCACGGCUAACUACGUGCCAGCAGCCGCGGUAAUACGUAGGUGGCGAGCGUUAUCCGGAAUUACUGGGUGUAAAGGGUGUGUAGGCGGGAUCGCAAGUCAGUGGUGAAACCCGUGGGCUCAACCCACGGCCUGCCAUUGAAACUGCGGUUCUUGAG